UCUGCAGAGAUGUGGAAGUGCUCGAAAGAGAACUUGAACACAGGUGCUGCAUGGCCGUCGUCAGCUCGUGUCGUGAGAUGUUGGGUUAAGUCCCGCAACGAGCGCAACCCUUGUCAUUAGUUGCUACGCAAGAGCACUCUAAUGAGACUGCCGGUGACAAACCGGAGGAAGGUGGGGAUGACGUCAGGUCCUCAUGGCCCUUAUGGGUAGGGCUACACACGUCAUACAAUGGCCGGUACAGAGGGCUGCCAACCCGCGAGGGGGAGCCAAUCCCAGAAAACCGGUCGUAGUCCGGAUCGUAGUCUGCAACUCGACUGCGUGAAGUCGGAAUCGCUAGUAAUCGCGGAUCAGCUUGCCGCGGUGAAUACGUUCCCGGGUCUUGUACACACCGCCCGUCACACCAUGGGA
rnacentral:rRNA from 1 species